rnacentral:rRNA from 1 species
CCUACGGGUCGCAGCAGUUAGGAUUUUGGGCAAUGGGCGAAAGCCUGACCCAGCAACGCCGCGUGGGUGAUGAAGGCCCUCGGGUCGUAAAGCCCUUUUCCCAGGGAAGAUGAUGACGGUACCUGGGGAAUCAGCCCCGGCUAACUACGUGCCAGCAGCCGCGGUAAUACGUAGGGGGCAAGCGUUGUCCGGAUUUAUUGGGCGUAAAGCGCUCGCAGGUGGUUGGUCGCGUCGUGCGUGAAAGACCCCGGCUCAACUGGGGAGGGUCGUGCGAUACGGGCCAACUGGAGGCCAGUAGGGGGAUGCGGAAUUCCGGGUGUAGUGGUGGAAUGCGUAGAGAUCCGGAGGAGCACCAGCGGCGAAGGCGGCAUCCUGGACUGGUCCUGACACUCAGGAGCGAAAGCGUGGGGAGCGAUCCGGAUUAGAUACCCGAGUAGUC